AGGGUUUGAUUAUGGCUCAGGAUAAACGCUGGCGGCGUGCUUAACACAUGCAAGUCGAACGGAGCUUUUCUUUCGGGGAAAGCUUAGUGGCGGACGGGUGAGUAACGCGUGGGUAACCUGCCCUGUACAGGGGGACAACAGCUGGAAACGGCUGCUAAUACCGCAUAAGCCCCGAGUGCCGCAUGACACAAAGGGAAAAGGAGCAAUCCGGUACAGGAUGGACCCGCGUCUGAUUAGCCAGUUGGCAGGGUAACGGCCUACCAAAGCGACGAUCAGUAGCCGAUCUGAGAGGAUGUACGGCCACAUUGGGACUGAGACACGGCCCAG
rnacentral:rRNA from 1 species